GCCCGUACAAGAUAUUUCACCAGCGGCUCUAACUUUAAAUUCCAAGAUUCACGGGUGGUCCUGCCCUGGGUAAAACUCAGGAAGUAAAAGCAACCUUUGGGAGAGGUGAGAUAAGAAGUCAGACCAUUGCCCACCGCCUGGAGCAGACCGCUCCCAGCCUAGAGCCUGCCUGCACCGCCGCUGGCAUAGGUGGAGGUUGCAACCCGUCUCCGGCAACCUCGAGCACAGCCAGGCUCUGCCCAGCUAUUUCCGGCCGCGCCCCGGAAGUGCUGAGAGGGACUUCCGCCCUGCGACGAGGCCUCGGAGCUGGUUGCUGCUCACUGGCGGAGAAAUACUGAAGUGUUCCGGAAAACUCUUCAAUUACAGGAAAAGGUGCAUGACUGCAUCUUCAGAGGAGUUGGUUUUGCUGGUACCAAGGAUUCUGCUAAUGAGAAAACUCCACAGUCCGGCAUACCGUAAGCUGGCUCCAGCAGCCCAGUUGACCAUGGCUGAGGCCAGUUCCCGAUCAUCCUGUCUGAGAAACACCAGCUCUUGCGUACAGUCAGGAAGUAGGCAAGAAAUGCCAGCUCUGGAAGCAGAGGGAGAAUAAGAUAGUUAUCCUCUAGUGCCACCAGGAAUAUACCACCAAAAUGUCCGUGACAGACUCUUCCCUCUACAGGCAAGUUGUGCUAAACUUUGACAUUGUGUGGUCUUCUGGGA
rnacentral:lncRNA from 1 species